rnacentral:rRNA from 1 species
UACGUAGGUGGCGAGCGUUGUCCGGAAUUACUGGGUGUAAAGCGCGUGUAGGCGGGAGGCCAAGUCUGCGGUGAAAUCGCUCGGCUCAACUGGGCGGGGUCCGUGGAAACUGGUCACCUGGAGGACGGUAGAGGCGAGUGGAAUUCCCGGUGUAGUGGUGAAAUGCGUAGAGAUCGGGAGGAACACCAGUGGCGAAGGCGGCUCGCUGGGCCGGACCUGACGCUGAGACGCGAAGGCGUGGGGAGCGAACAGG